GGCACAGGUCUGAAGUGGUGUAGAUCAGUAGAAUCAGCUGAUCCUACUAAUCUAUUCUACUUCAAGCCUGUGCCC
rfam:Haemonchus contortus, ISE/inbred ISE, WGS project CAVP01000000 data, contig: Hcontortus_2292